rnacentral:misc_RNA from 1 species
ACACCUCAACUCUCAUGGUUUGCCAUGAUGAGCUUGGACUCUGGGGGUUUUGCUGGCCUGUGGUCAGCUCCCCUCAAAUGAAUCAGCCUCCCAGUGUUUGGUGGCGUCACGGGUGUGAUAAAUAUCUAUGCUCGUGGUUGUCUGCCAGGUAACCUUUGGCAACAAAGGUUUGCUGGAGCUCACAGAUGUCGCUCCUCAGCGAGGACAGCUUUUUGAAC